rnacentral:lncRNA from 1 species
AAAACGAUGGUCAUCAACAAUCAUAAACAAAUUUUCUGAGCUAGAUUUGAUGAUGAACACGUUCAGGAUGCUACAAUUCACAGUUGGAAUGAUAACCAGGUCUGGUAUAUGAAAGCAAAUGGAAGAAUUAACCUAGCUACAAAAUCAUAACUAGUCUCAUCCCCCCACACUGAGAGUCACUCUAUCAACUUUAAACAUAAACCUAACCAGAUACAACAGCCAUUAUAAUCUACUAGCAAAGAUGAGACUCGUCGCAUUCAGUCGAUGGGCCAGCCAAUCUACUCUUGAGGAGGUCCUUGGGGGAAUGGUCCACGGCCACGACCCCCACCGCGUCCGCGUCCGCGUCCGCGGCCACGGCCACGGCCACUUCCUCCAUCACCUUCUGCACAGGAGAUUCACAAGAUAACAUUGCUUAGUGGUGAUUAAACCCAAAUUCAGAGAGGCAACUAGAAAAGAAUUAUUCAAAGGAAUGCCAAUUUAUAAUAUCAUCACUUCUUUCUACCUUAGUCAAAGCACAAUACAUCACAUUGAGAAUUUAAAUAUUAUCUGUGGUUCUGCACAUCUCUAAUUAAGUGGUGAAGUGAUAAAAACUGGGGGCAAGAUUAAAAACUGAGGGCUGUUAGUAGAAAAUUUAAACAGAACUAACCAUAUCCUUGCACAGGAGGUCCAUUAUGCUCCAUGCCAUGAUACCCACCAGCUUCUUCAUUUACAUAGCCAUAGCCAUCACCACCAUAACCCCUUCCAGGCCCAAAGGACCCACGCCU